rnacentral:rRNA from 1 species
GUAGGUGGCAAGCGUUGUCCGGAAUUAUUGGGCGUAAAGCGCGCGCAGGCGGUUCUUUAAGUCUGAUGUGAAAGCCCACGGCUCAACCGUGGAGGGUCAUUGGAAACUGGAGAACUUGAGUACAGAAGAGGAAAGCGGAAUUCCACGUGUAGCGGUGAAAUGCGUAGAGAUGUGGAGGAACACCAGUGGCGAAGGCGGCUUUCUGGUCUGUAACUGACGCUGAGGCGCGAAAGCGUGGGGGAGCAAACAGGAUUAGAUACCUGGUAGUCCACGCCGUAAACGAUGAGUGCUAAGUGUUAGGGGGUUUCCGCCCCUUAGUGCUGCAGCUAACGCAUUAAGCACUCCGCCUGGGAGUACGGCCGCAAGGCUG